UGAGUUUUCGUCCUCCAAUUUGAAUCUCUUCUCCAAAACUUCUGCGAUCAACUCUUCAAGACUCCAAACAAUUUUACGAAAUUCGCCAACCUAUAAAAUCCUUAACAAUGUCCCCCUUUGGCGAUUUCGUGACAAAAUAUACUACAAAGUUCGUAUACAACCAAUAAGUCAUAAAAAGAAGAUCAUCGCAAUCACCAAACGAUAAUCUCCUGCAUGAUCAAUCCAAUAAACGAAAUUUACACUUUUACAACCUUAAUACAAACUCUAUAACUUAGACAUGGAGUCUUGAAGUCUUGAAUUAUUUCUGCAAAAAUAUUCUCAAAACAUAAUCAAGAUGAUGGUAUCAAGAAGAUCAAACAAACUAAAGUUCACAUUUCAUAGUUCAUAGUCAAACAACGAAAGCAAACACCUAAAGCAUUAACCAAACAAAGUUCAUCUUAGCUAAAUACAUCAUCAUCAUCAAGAACUAAAAAAAAAACAAAACUAAGCUAAAUGCAUCAAAUAACUAAGCAAAGCUAAAUGCAUCAUCAUCAUCUUAAACCACCAUCUCAAUCUCCCCCUUUUUGUCAGAAAGCGCCAAAACGACAAAAGGAGAAACCCAGUGACGCCUAGUCAGAAUCAUCCCCUGGAGGUAAAUCUGCUCGGCAACAUCCUAACUUGUCAAAAAUCAUAUUCAAUAACCGCUUCAUCUUGCUCACAUCUUUACGGAUCGCAGCUUGUUCCGCAGACAACUUCUGAAGCUCCUCAGAUAGACGUUGCUGCUCACGAUACACCGAGGAAACGGAAAUAUCUUCCUCAGAAAUGUCUAUAGACGGACGUGAAGAAGUAGCAGUAGCCGGAGGUGGAGCUGCAGGAGGGGAAGAAGCACGUUGAGACGGUGUACGAAGCUGUACCGAGGACUUUACAAAUGU
rnacentral:lncRNA from 1 species